UUGUUAGUCAUGUUAUGUUGCUGUGUACUAAUGUCUUGGGUCCCUGUUUCUGCCUGCAUUACCUGUGUUUUGAUCUUUUUGCCUGUUUAUUAGACUUUGGAUUCCAACCUGCUCCUUACUGGAUUUGUAACAAGUGGUAGUUUUAAAGAAUGCUGAACUGUUUCUUGGCCUGAGCAUCCAUUCAUUGCACAGCAAGUACAUUAAGUCAAAGUUGAACCAGAGGAUUUGUCUGUAACUGGUGAUGGAUGUCUGGUUAAAUCUCCAACCAUCCAGGAAUGCUUAAAACCACAAUCAGAGGGAGUGAAGAAAAGAGUCAUGAGCUGCAGACUAGAAGGGAAAAAUGUUGGCAUCUCUCCAAAGCCGAACAACCAGUGGAGAAGGGAUUGGACAGAGUCUCAGGAAUGCAGACUGUGCUCUGAGGAAAUGGCUGUUGUCUCCAGAGGGAACUUCUACAGUCUGGCUGCAGACCCAUGAGGAAAGGAGUUGACAGCUUGAAAUUUGGAAUCAGUGCCAAAUGACAGCCCUGCAAUAGGUGAGAUGAUCCAAUUCAGUGAAGGAAGGGUUUACAUUUAUUUUUAAGUGAAGACUGUCAAUCAAGUGUUGUUCAGCCUACAUGAAGUUACAUCCAUCUCAGUCAGAAUCCUCUGUGGUGACUUGUGGGAUAUUCAUUUCAAGAGUGCUAAACCUCCUGUUGGAUCAUUUCAAAGCAAUCCAAAGAUAGCAUUGCUGGUUAACCAGUGCACUCAUGCAUAAUAGGUUGUUAUAAAAUAACUGUAAAUUAGUUAAUGAGCAGUUAAUGACUUUGGGCACUAUGAAGAUGCCUCUGUUUUACUGAUCUGAAUUCUCUGUAAAUCAGUAGGUAUAGAGAAGUACUAAAACAGCCCCAACUCCAAACUGUUUAUGGCUUGGUGCCUUUUAUUGAGGUCAAUUGCAAACAGGAUGCUUUAAUUUCUUCCACAUUUAAUGUUUAAGUGCUUUUAUUGAGCUUUUUGCAUCUCAGUUGUCAGUGAAAUAUUCUUAGCAAUCUUGAAACAAUCUUUUUUAUAUUGUUGACUUUUACAUCUUGACUUUAUUUGGUAAACUGCACCAAAGCAUAUUUAUUAGACACGUAUUACUACAACACUACAAGUUAAAAGAUAUUUUUAAGAAGCAGGAUAUCAUAAGACUUGUUUUUGUUCUUCACAACACAUUUACCUGUUUUUUUCCCCCCAUAAUUUCUUUCAUUUGAUCAACCAGGGUCACAGGUGUAUCAUCAGGGCACUAUAGUAUUUCAUGACAUUUUACCGCCAUCUUUCAAGCCUACAAGAUGUGGUUCUGAAUGUGAUGUGAUUUGAAACAUGAACUUUGGAUGGAGUAUCACUUUAAACUCAGGUUGGCAGUAGUACUGGAUCCUGCAACACUUCAUCACUUCAACAGCUCAUUAGAUGAGCAAUCUGGCAGCUGUUCAAAAGCCUUCAGGUUGCAAAAUGUGAUCUGAAAUUUCCACUUUGCAAGUUAAAGUCUUUUCUGUUUCUAGCUGUAAGAAAACUGUUAGAACCACUUCUUAGUUUCUUAAUUUGCUGAAACCCUUUACUACGUGAACCAACAUUGCUUUACUUCGAUGUUCUAUACACUUAUAUCAAAUGUAGCCCUCUCUGGAUGAAUGUGGGUCAGUAGAAAACAACAGAAAAUACCUGAAAUCUCUAAAAUUAUGGUACAUGGCUGUAGUUGAGACCACUUAAAUCAAGUUCAAGACAAAUCUAAGUCUGUGCAGUUUCAAGAUGAGUCCAAAUUGGGCUCAAGACCGAGUCAGCAACAAGACCAAAGUGACAAAAAAUGUGCUAAUUCAAUAGUCUUACUGUUGUCUUUCAGUUCUAAGUCAACUGUGAUAUAGUUUCUUUCACUCAGUACAGUCAUUUGGAUUUUCUGAGAAACAAAUAUUCUUGUAAAAGGUUACAAGCUAUGGAAGUGUGAAUCGUAUCUAUCUCUUUCCACAUGUACAUUUGUGAACAAAACUAUGACUUUCAGUCAGAAAAGGGAUAGGUUGUCAAAUGACACACUAUGGAAAAUUCAUUCAGAUUGGACAUACAAAUGUCCAAUGUAAUAGGAAUGUAGUUAUAUAACAAAGGUGAAGGUUUUAAGAUACAACAGUGUUCAGAUUAGAACUACCACCACUGCAGUUUCUCUGUGAUGACUCAGCAGUGCUGAGACUGUACUUUUGUCUUACUCAA